GCUACACUUGUUGUAUCUGGAGAUGGACGCUAUUAUUCAAAGGAUGCUAUUCAGAUAAUAGUUAAGAUGGCUGCAGCAAAUGGGGUACGACGUAUUUGGGUUGGUCAAAAUGGUUUGCUUUCAACUCCAGCUGUGUCAGCUGUUAUACGUGAAAGAGUUGGGGUUGAUGGAUCCCGAGCAUCAGGAGCAUUUAUUUUGACUGCAAGUCACAAUCCAGGAGGUCCUAAUGAGGAUUUUGGGAUUAAAUACAACAUGGAAAAUGGCGGCCCUGCACCA
rnacentral:misc_RNA from 1 species